rnacentral:misc_RNA from 1 species
CUUAUCUAUACAGUUCACAGCAACACAAAGCUGAGGACUCUCAAGCACCACAUUGCUGACCGUGCAAUGUCGUUGACAUCCUUUGGGAAGAAGUAUUAUGUUGGUGCCAAACUUGAAGACACCAUAUUGAUUGGGAAGAGACUGAAGUUUGUAAUGAAUGCUGGCCAAAUGAGAGGCUCUGGAGAAGUGGCAUAUGGUGGGACUUUUGAAGCAACAUUAAGAGGGCAAGACUACCCUGUGAGGAAUGAUAUUAUCAGACUAUCAAUGACGGCUUUGUCCUCUAAGAAGGAGAUGGUGUUGGGUGGAGGUU